rnacentral:rRNA from 1 species
UACGUAGGGCGCAAGCGUUGUCCGGAAUCAUUGGGCGUAAAGAGCUCGUAGGCGGUCUGUUGCGUCCGCUGUGAAAACUCAGGGCUUAACUCUGAGCUUGCAGUGGGUACGGGCAGACUAGAGUGCGGUAGGGGAGACUGGAAUUCCUGGUGUAGCGGUGAAAUGCGCAGAUAUCAGGAGGAACACCGGUGGCGAAGGCGGGUCUCUGGGCCGUAACUGACGCUGAGGAGCGAAAGCAUGGGGAGCGAACAGG